AUCUAUUGUGUGCCAGCCUGGUAUUGUUAUAAAUGCUGUGUGCCAGUCUGGUAUUGUUAUAAAUACUGUGUGCCAGGCUGGUAUUGUUAUAUCUAUUGUGUGCCAGGCUGGUAUUGUUAUACCGUUUGCCAGGCUGGUAUUGUUAGAAAUACUGUGUGCCAGGCUGGUAUUGUUAUAUCUAUUGUGUGCCAGGAUGGUAUUGUUAUAUUUAUUGUGUGCCAGGCUGAUGUUGUUAUAAAUACUGUGUGCCAUGCUGGUUUUGUUAUAUCUAUUGUGUGCCAGUCUGGUAUUGUUAUAAAUGCUGUGUGCCAGGA